ACGCCGAAAGGAGGUGAUCGGGAAGUGAUUUCAUCCCGGACAAGCGAGGUGGCUGCGGGCUGACAGCCCGUCGUCGCACUCUGUGCGGGGCCGGCCAGUUGUCGGCUCAAUCCAAAGCAGUCACCCGACCCGCGGGCCGCCGGUUUGUCCGGCCGGCUCCCUCUCCGGAGC
rnacentral:sRNA from 1 species